GAUGAACGCUGGCGGCGUGCCUAAUACAUGCAAGUCGAGCGAACGGACGAGAAGCUUGCUUCUCUGAUGUUAGCGGCGGACGGGUGAGUAACACGUGGAUAACCUACCUAUAAGACUGGGAUAACUUCGGGAAACCGGAGCUAAUACCGGAUGAUAUUUUGAACCGCAUGGUUCAAAAGUGAAAGACGGUCUUGCUGUCACUUAUAGAUGGAUCCGCGCUGCAUUAGCUAGUUGGUAAGGUAACGGCUUACCAAGGCAACGAUGCAUAGCCGACCUGAGAGGGUGAUCGGCAACACUGGAACUGAGACACGGUCCAGACUCCUACGGGAGGCAGCAGUAGGGAAUCUUCCGCAAUGGGCGAAAGCCUGACGGAGCAACGCCGCGUGAGUGAUGAAGGUCUUCGGAUCGUAAAACUCUGUUAUUAGGGAAGAACAUACGUGUAAGUAACUGUGCACAUCUUGACGGUACCUAAUCAGAAAGCCACGGCUAACUACGUG
rnacentral:rRNA from 1 species